UACGUCCUACGGGAGGCAGCAGUGGGGAAUUUUGCGCAAUGGGGAAACCCUGACGCAGCAACGCCGCGUGGAGGAUGAAAUCCUUGGGAUGUAAAGCUCUUUCGGCAGGGAAGAUUAUGACGGUACCUGCAAAAGCAGCUGCGGCUAACUACGUGCCAGCCGCCGCGGUAAUAC
rnacentral:rRNA from 1 species